rnacentral:rRNA from 1 species
CCUACGGGGUUCCGCCGUUUUUGCUAUUUCCCCAUUUUUUCAACCCUUAUGCAGCGACGCCGCGUGUGGGAAGACGGUCCUCUGGAUUGUAAACCACUGUCCCCAGGGACGAAGAUGACGGUACCUGGGGAGGAAGCUCCGGCUAACUACGUGCCAGCAGCCGCGGUAAUACGUAGGGAGCGAGCGUUGUCCGGAAUUACUGGGUGUAAAGGGAGCGUAGGCGGGGAUGCAAGUUGGGUGUCAAAACUACCGGCUCAACUGGUAGUCGCACUCAAAACUGCAGCUCUUGAGUGAAGUAGAGGCAGGCGGAAUGCCUGGUGUAGCGGUGAAAUGCGUAGAUAUUAGGAGGAACACCAGUGGCGAAGGCGGCCUGCUGGGCUUUUACUGACGCUGAGGCUCGAAAGUGUGGGGAGCAAACAGGAUUAGAUACCCUAGUAGUC